CAUAGCGACUAUCGUGGCAUAUCAAUAAGCGGAGGAAAAGAAACUAACAAGGAUUCCCCUAGUAACGGCGAGUGAAGCGGGAAGAGCUCAAAUUUGAAAUCUUCAAGGUUUGACCUUGACGAAUUGUAGUUUAUAGAAGUGUUUUCUGUUAGUGGAGUGGCAAAAGUUCUUUGGAAUAGGACAUCAUAGAGGGUGAGAAUCCCGUAUUUGGUCAUUCCUCCUAGCGUUGUGAUACACUUUCAACGAGUCGGAUUGUUUGGGAAUGCAGUCCAAAAUGGGUGGUAAAUUUCAUCUAAAGCUAAAUAUUGGCGAGAGACCGAUAGCGAACAAGUACCGUGAGGGAAAGAUGAAAAGAACUUUGAAAAGAGAGUUAAACAGUACGUGAAAUUGUCAAAAGGGAAGCGUUUGACACCAGUGUUGUUUUUCCGAAAAUCAAUUACGAAUGUUUUGUUUUUAAGAAGUUAUGACUUCAUCGGCUUGCUUCUUUCUUUACGAAACUUUCUUAAUGCACUUUUCGGUUAACAAGUCAACAUCAAUUUCUUUUGUUGUAAAAGGGUAUGAGGAAGGUGGCUUUCUUUUCGGAGAAAGUGUUUAUAGCCUUGUGCCUCUGCAAUCGGAGAGAUUGAGGUCUGCAGCGUAGAUCCUUCGGGGUUAGAUACGUUUGUGCUAAGUUAUAGCUUUUCAUAGACAACUUGUUGACUAUGUUUAGUCUUGUAGCUUACUCGCUUAUGCUAUUUUACCUACGCUUAGGAUGUUGACGAGACUGUCGAUCUC
rnacentral:rRNA from 1 species